rnacentral:sRNA from 1 species
UUUUUGCGUUAGCUAUUGCAGCGGCAUCCUUUUUUGGCUUGAAUCCUGCAAGGUUUCCAAAACCUUGUAGGUAUCCGUUUGCCAUGUCCGGAUGUGGCCAAAAAAGAUAUAGCGGAAAGAGCGACCCGUA